AAAGUCGUAACAAGGUUUCCGUAGGUGAACCUGCGGAAGGAUCAUUACCUGGCCUUGGGCCGCUCGCGGGAGCUAGUCGCUUGCGACGACGCUGCUGAGGGCGCUUAGCCCUUGACUAUCACCUUGACUACGUGCACCUUUUGUUGUUUCCUCGGCAGGUCAUCUGUCGCCAGGAACCCCCUAAACCUUUUGCAAACAGCAUUCAAACUUCUGAAAACAAACCAAAUCAUUUACAACUUUUAACAAUGGAUCUCUUGGUUCUG
rnacentral:misc_RNA from 1 species